rnacentral:rRNA from 1 species
UUCGCGGCCCCCUAAGCUUGUUGGUGAGGUAAUGGCUCACCAAGGCGACGACGGGUAGCCGGCCUGAGAGGGUGACCGGCCACACUGGGACUGAGACACGGCCCAGACUCCUACGGGAGGCAGCAGUGGGGAAUAUUGCACAAUGGGCGAAAGCCUGAUGCAGCGACGCCGCGUGAGGGAUGACGGCCUUCGGGUUGUAAACCUCUUUCAGUAGGGAAGAAGCGAAAGUGACGGUACCUGCAGAAGAAGCGCCGGCUAACUACGUGCCAGCAGCCGCGGUAAUACGUAGGGCGCAAGCGUUAUCCGGAUUUAUUGGGCGUAAAGAGCUCGUAGGCGGUUUGUCGCGUCUGCCGUGAAAGUCCGAGGCUCAACCUCGGAUCUGCGGUGGGUACGGGCAGACUAGAGUGAUGUAGGGGAGACUGGAAUUCCUGGUGUAGCGGUGAAAUGCGCAGAUAUCAGGAGGAACACCGAUGGCGAAGGCAGGUCUCUGGGCAUUUACUGACGCUGAGGAGCGAAAGCAUGGGGAGCGAACAGGAUUAGAUACCCUGGUAGUCCAUGCCGUAAACGUUGGGCACUAGGUGUGGGGGACAUUCCACG